UACGGAGGGAGCUAGCGUUGUUCGGAUUCAUUGGGCGUAAAGGGUGCGUAGGUGGCGCGCUAAGUCAGGUGUGAAAUUUCGGAGCUUAACUCCGAAACUGCAUUUGAUACUGGCGUGCUUGAGGACUGGAGAGGAGACUGGAAUUUACGGUGUAGCGGUGAAAUGCGUAGAUAUCGUAAGGAAGACCAGUGGCGAAGGCGGGUCUCUGGACAGUUCCUGACGCUGAGGCACGAAGGCCAGGGGAGCAAACGGG
rnacentral:rRNA from 1 species